rnacentral:rRNA from 1 species
UAUUGCACAAUGGGCGAAAGCCUGAUGCAGCGACGCCGCGUGAGGGAAGACGGUCUUCGGAUNGUACACCUCUGUCUUUGGGGAANNCCNNNGNCGGUACCCAAAGAGGAAGCUCCGGCUAACUACGUGCNNNCNGCCGCGGUAAUACGUAGGGAGCGAGCGUUGUCCGGAAUUACUGGGUGUAAAGGGAGCGUAGGCGGGCUUGUAAGUUGAAUGGCUAAUCCACCGGCUCAACCGGUGAUCGCGUUCAAAACUGCAGGUCUUGAGUGAAGUAGAGGCAGGCGGAAUUCCUAGUGUAGCGGUGAAAUGCGUAGAUAUUAGGAGGAACACCAGUGGCGAAGGCGGCCUGCUGGGCUUUAACUGACGCUGAGGCUCGAAAGCGUGGGGAGCAAACAGG